rnacentral:rRNA from 2 species
CGGUGUCUACCUCUUCCCAUUCCGAACAGAGCAGUCAAGCCCGCCAGAGCCGAUGGUAUUGCCGUAACAGGUGGGAGAGUAGGUCGGUGCCUUUUU